UUUUGACCAUGGCAACUGAUGUCUGUGAUUUUUUUUGCCUCCACGGCUUUUAAACAGUUAACAUCACCUGCUGCUGUUUGUGAUGAAACCCCACAGGAAAUGAAUGCCAAAGGAACAAGGAUAGGAAGAAAAUAUGAUAACAGAAGCUCAUCAGCAGACUAUUCAUGAAUACAAGCUCCAUGAAGCCCAGGACUUUCUGCAUUCCCUGCCACUGAAUCAUCACAGCUAAUACUCUGCUGAAUAAAUAUUUGUUAUUGGAUUAUAAUUUGACACAUCAAUAUUUUUAUGAUUUUUUAAAAUCGAUCUUACCUCGUUCCCUCAAGUUUUGCAUGAUUGGAAGUUUGUUGAGACGUUUCAAACCACAGCCUUCUUUCUAUUUUCCUCCAAAACAUUUAUCACAAUCUAGUGUAGAACACAGUUAAAUUAGUUAUUUGUUUAUUGUCUCUACACUCUGUAAACUUCAUGCAACAUUUUAAGACUUUUCAUUCGAUUGCCAUUGUUUAUUGUUUCUCCACUGAUCUAGCCUCAGUUCAUGAUAAAUUUUCACUGAAUAUUUGAUUGAUGUUUCAGGUUGAGCGUAGAGAAGGAUUUCCUGGUCAAACGAUUUUGUGAAACAAGACAUCCUAUACUAUUAUCUUAAACAUUUACACCAUUCAUACAAUAUAAAAAGUUCCUGAUAAAUGCUUCCAUUAUAAAAUAUGUUAACUUUGUUUAACUUAGUCUUUUAUCAGUGUAUUUACUCAUAGAGCUGCUAAUAACAUCUAGUAGAACUAAUGUCCUAGGUGUCACAUUUUUGGUAGAAAAAGUUUUUCCAUCACCUUGUAGCAAGCAGGGCAAGGCAUUUAUUCAUUUCACAACCCAGAGAAGGGUCCUAUUUAUUUAUGGUGUGGCUAAUGAGUUUCACUUCAUUAAGCGAAACUCAGCCAUAGUUACUGGAAUAGUGGAGAAAAAACUUCUGCUAGUUUCAAUCGCUCCAUUCUUCUUUGAAUGCAAAUCAUUGUUCAUAUAACAACAGUGACCUUCAUAUGGCAGCAGUGAUCUUCCUGGGAAACAAUUACAAUUAUGCCACUGCUUCACUUAACAUCUUUAAUGGCCGUCUCUUCACCAACGUUUCUCAUUUUUGCCUUUGGAGUGCAUUUUAAAAUGUUAUAACUAUACAAAGCCCACAGUUUCUUACAGGUCACAUCCUUAGCCCUACCCAAUUGUCAAAACAAAGGAUACAUUUUUAAGACCCUGAACUCUUUGUUGCUUUCAUCUGGAACACCUCUUUUGGCCAUCCCUUCCACCCUCCACCACACAAGUGCACUGGCUAACCCAGUCUUAUCUGACUGGUUAGCCCCUACUCAUAACUCAUGUUACAGCUUAGCCAGCCCUUCCAAGGUUCUGUUGAGUUUCCUUAUGUAUUCCAUACUCUUGACUUUAUCAUAAGUCUUCACCAGUCAUUAUAAUCUCUUGAAAGGUAACAAAAUAAUUCCUUUUUCUUUACCACAUUUCCAGUGUUUGUUUCAGUACAUGGCACAUAGUAAGCACUGGAGAGAUUAUGGAAGGAUAAUGAAAGAUAAGCCAUGUAUCUGUGACUGCCUCUUGGAGACAUAGACCUUAUGCAGCUGUGUAUUUGAUCUCGUCAGUGUUUUCUGUUUUUCUUUUGAGAGUUUUAAGUAUAUUCCUAGCUUUCAAAUUAGCUAAUGUAAAGGUUUUAUCCAUAUUAACUUUUAGCACUUCUUUUUUAUGUCUCUAUUUUCUCAGUGAUUUUUUGAGCAAUCUGUUGACAAGGCAUUUUAUUUGGAAUAGUAUGAACUUCUUAGAAAACACUAAUAUCUAUAGAGAUAAAAAUUUUUCUCCCUACAAUUAUACAUUGCUGCUCACUGGUGAAAACUGUUGCUUGAACAAGCCACAUGUUACAAGCUCCUAACACCAGCCACCCAACUGUACAACAGUGAGUUAUUCACAUCAACUACCUAACAGUAUUUACAACAAUGAUAUUUAUAUUAUGUAUAGUAUUUAUAUCAUAUUAAUUUUAAAAAUAAAACUUAUUUUGUAAAUUUUCUAUGUCAAAUAUUCUUUUACAUUAUAGCAUUUGAUUUUUUUUACAACUCUAUAAUGUAGGCAUUAAUAUUAUCACCCCUUCAUUCUUGGAACUAAUAAUCAUAGGUAUUGUUCUGAAUACGACUAUUGAGUAUCUUCUUCUUGAAAUUAUGGGUCUGUAUUUAUUUUUCUUUGUAUGGUCAUCACUUGAGUCAGUGCCAAGAAGCUCCCUAAAUGCAUCCAAGAUUAGAACUGGAGCUCAAAAUUUCCAUCUGAAAAGUUCUAUGUUUUGUUGUUUUACUUUAUCAGUCUAUAUCAAACUCAGCCAUCUUGAAGAAAAUAUGAGGCAAGAGUUCUCAUCAACAAAUAUUGUAAAAGGUACCUUUACAUAUUACUGAGGCAAAUCACUGUACUCAGCUUCAACUUCAUACUUACUUACACAAAAAUAUAUUCCACAAAUACUGGCACCUCCCAAAGUACCUCUCCCUACUCCUAUCACAUAAGGAUAAGAUCUCUGGGAAAUAGAUUGUGAGAUAGUGAGCUUUCUUCAAUUUUAAAAACUCACUAGAUGCUCUCUAUGAAUUGACAUGUGUAAGGGAAUGAAGGAAGCAGGACUGGGCAGAGGGAAAGGUGAGCUGCAUUGUAGUUGCAACAAACACCUUGUCGAUCAAAAAGCCAUCACACCUUCUAAAACUGAGAUGCAAUCUCAGAGCUGUCUCAGUUAAAGGAAGGGAGCUGAUAUGGUUUGGCUCUGUGUCCCCACACUAAUCUCAUGUUGAAUUGUAAUCUUCAGUGCUGUGGAGGGAUCUGGUAGGAGGUGACUAGAUCAUGGGGACAGAUUUCCCUCUUCCUGUUCUCACGAUAGUGAGUGAGUUCUCAUGAGAUCUGGUUGUUUAAAAGCACACAGCAUAUCCCCCUUUGUUCUCUCUCUCUCCUGCUCUGCUAUAUGAAGUUUGUGCCUGCUUCCACUUCACCUUCCUUCAUGAUUGUAACUUUUCUGAGGUCUCCCCAGCCAUGCCUCAUGUACAGCCUGUGGAACUGUGAGUCAUUAAACCUCUUUUCUCCAUAAAUAACCUAGUAUCAUGUAGGUCUUUACAGCAAUGAUAGAAUGGACUUAUACAGAAAAUUGGUACCAGAGAAGUGGGGCAUUGGUAUAAAGAUACCUGAAAAUGUGGACAUGACUUUGGAACUUUGGUAAUGGGCAGUGGUUGGAAUAGUUUGGAGUGCUCAAAAGAAGAUGGAAACAUGAGGGAAAGUUUGGAAUUUCCCAAAGACUUGUUGAAUGCUUGUGACUAAAAUGCUGAUAGUGACAUGGACAGUGAAGUUCAGGCUGAGGUGGUCUCUGAUGGAGAUGAGUAACUUUUUGAGAACUGGAGUAAGGGUCACUCUUGCUAUGGUUUAGCAAAGAUAUUGGUGGCAUUGUGCCCCUGCUCUAGAGAUCUGUGGAAUGGUGAACCUGAGAGAUAUAAUAUAGGGUAUCUGAUGGAAGAAAUUUCUAAGUAGCAAAGCAUAUGAGAUAUGACCUGGCUGCUUCUAAAAGCCUAUGCUCAUCUGCAUAAACAAAGAAAUGGCCUGAAACUAGAACUUAUGUUUAAAAGGGAAUCAUAACAUAAAAGUUUGGAAAAUUCACAGCCUAAUCAUGUGGUAGAAAAAAAAAAUCAUAUUCUAGGGAGAAAUUCAAGGCUGCAGAAAUUUGAAUAAAUAAAGAGCCAAAUGUUAAUAGCCAAGACAAUGGACAUUUAGUUAAUGCUGGAAUGAGUUAAGACUUUGGGGCACUGUUGGGAAGGCAUGAUUGGUUUUGAGAUAUGAGAAGGACAUGAGAUUUGGGAGAGGCCAGGGGCAGAAUGAUAUGGUUUGGCUGUGUGUCACCAACCAAAUCUCACGUUGAAUUGUAAUCCCCAGUGUUGGAAGAGGGACCUCCUAGGAGGUAACUGGAUUAUGGGGUGGAUUUCCCCCUUGCUGUUCUCCUGACUGUGAGUCAGUUCUCAUGAGAUCUGGUUGUUUUAAAUGUGUAGCAUUUCACCCUUUCUCUCUCUCUCUCUCUCUCACUCUCUCUCUCUCACACACACACUCUCUCUCACUCUCACUCUCUCUCUCUCUCUAUCACACACACACACACACACACACACACACACACACACACACUCUCUCUCUCUCUCUCUCUCCUGUUCUGCUAUGUGAAGAGUAUGCCUGCUUCACCUUCAACUUCUGCCAUGAUUGAAGUUUUCCUGAGGCUUCCCUAGCCAUGCCUUUUGUACAGCCUGUGAAACUGGGAGUCAAUUAAACCUCUUUUCUCCAUAAAUUACCCAGUCUCAGGUAUGUUUUUAUAGCAGUGUGAGAACAGACUAGUGCAGGAGCCAAGCCGUUGUACACACAUUUCUACCAGUCACUGUUUACAAGCUGCCUCUGAAGAAGGACCAUAACCUUGGGCUUGGAAGUUCUGUUUUUUGAAAGCAAUUCCUUGAGAAAGGAGUUAGCUAUGAGCCAUCAGCAGCCAGGCAGCUGAGGGAAUGAGCUCCUCAAUCCCAAAGAGGAGUUCUGAGUAGCCAACUAUAGUUUCCGAUUAAUCUACAUAUUUAAUGGACACUAAAUGUGAUAUAAUGUCAAGUAGCACUUUUUUAAAAAUAUUUUUUAAAAUAGCGAAGUUAACUUUAUUUCAG
rnacentral:lncRNA from 10 species